rnacentral:tRNA from 1 species
AUUACUUUGGCAGAUUAGUGUAUUGAAUUUAGAAUUCAAAAAUGUAAAAAUUACAAGUAAUA